CGCGGCCUAUCAGCUUGUUGGUGAGGUAACGGCUCACCAAGGCUUCGACGGGUAGCUGGUCUGAGAGGACGAUCAGCCACACUGGGACUGAGACACGGCCCAGACUCCUGCGGGAGGCAGCAGUGGGGAAUCUUGCGCAAUGGGCGAAAGCCUGACGCAGCCACGCCGCGUGGGGGACGAAGGCCCUCGGGUUGUAAACCCCUUUCAGCGGGGACGAAAAUGACGGUACCUGCAGAAGAAGCUCCGGCCAACUACGUGCCAGCAGCCGCGGUAACACGUAGGGAGCAAGCGUUGUCCGGAUUUAUUGGGCGUAAAGGGCUCGUAGGCGGUUUGGUAAGUCGGGUGUGAAAGCUCAGGGCUCAACUCUGAGAAGCCAUCUGAUACUGCCAUGACUAGAGUUCGGUAGAGGAGCGUGGAAUUUCCGGUGUAGCGGUGAAAUGCUCAGAUAUCGGGAGGAACACCAGCAGCGAAGGCGGCGCUCUGGGCCGAAACUGACGCUGAGGAGCGAAAGCGUGGGGAGCAAACAGGAUUAGAUACCCUGGUAGUCCACGCCGUAAACGGUGGGCACUAGGUGUGGGGCCUAAUCAACGGGUUCCGUGCCGUAGCUAACGCAUUAAGUGCCCCGCCUGGGGAGUACGG
rnacentral:rRNA from 1 species